rnacentral:rRNA from 1 species
ACCAGACUCCUACGGGAGGCAGCAGUGGGGAAUAUUGCACAAUGGGGGGAACCCUGAUGCGGCAACGCCGCGUGAGUGAGGAAGUAUUUCGGUAUGUAAAGCUCUAUCAGCAGGGAAGAAGGUGACGGUACCUGAGUAAGAAGCCCCGGCUAACUACGUGCCAGCAGCCGCGGUAAUACGUAGGGGGCAAGCGUUAUCCGGAUUUACUGGGUGUAAAGGGGGCGCAGACGGCAGCGCAAGCCAGGAGUGAAAGCCCGGGGCCCAACCCCGGGACUGCUUUUGGAACUGCGCGGCUGGAGUGCAGGAGGGGUAGGCGGAAUUCCUGGUGUAGCGGUGAAAUGCGUAGAUAUCAGGAGGAACACCGGUGGCGAAGGCGGCCUGCUGGACUGCGACUGACGUUGAGGCCCGAAAGCGUGGGGAGCAAACAGGAUUAGAUACCCCGAUACA